GGAGAGUUGGCAGAGCGGUCUAAUGCGGCGGUCUUGAAAACCGUUGAGGGUCACACCUCCUGGGGUUCGAAUCCCUAACUCUCCG
rnacentral:tRNA from 1 species